rnacentral:lncRNA from 1 species
AAGAAAGCUAUACCGAGUGAUGUACCAGGGACAUCUGGUGACCUUCACUUGGAUCCGUCACAUGUAACGUAAGUCAAUGGAGCAAGAUGGCAGCAGCAUCAACGUGCACUAACCACAUCUACAGGUAAAAUUAAGGCUUUCUACUAUAAAAUGUUGCUCAUAACUUCACCAUCAUCAAAAUCAUGCUGGAACUUGUCAUACUGGAUGUCCAUAUCUUGCUGAAUUCUUUACUUCCUGUUCUCAAAGCUUAACAAAAAUAGCCUSAGUACUCCUCCCCUGAGACAUGCUGCCAGACACCAGAACUGAGGCGAGCAGUGAGCGUGCAGGAGGUCCCACGUGCUCUGUGCUCUUCCUGAUACCCCCAGGCACGCAGGAGCUGUUGGGGACGGUCUGACACGAAUUUGGAAGAAGACGUGGAGAAAAGGGGAUUGCAGAAAGCCCAGGACAGGGUGGUAGAGAGAUGCAGUUCAGCUGCUAAGGUUCUCCUGACCAUGGAUGCAAAGGUCCAAGUUCUGCAGGUGACCUUUGCUAGGGCUCAUCUGGACCCCAGGCUGGGUGCCCUUUGCAGCGCACUUGCUGAACAACGCUGUGGGAAUCAAUCGGGCUUGCGUGGGAGCAGCACCGACGGCAAAGGCCUCCCCCUCGCUUGCUGUGGGAAGUGCGGAGGUGCAGGCUGCAGGUCUGCUGUGUCCGUGGAGGAAUCUACACUGGAGAGUAAAACAGUUUG